CAGUUCCAUUGCGUUAUCAAACUCAACACAUUUGGAUAAUCCUCUCCAAGAAAUGAGUAGCUCUACACCUCUCUCAGUGCUCCUCCUUUCAUGCUUUCUCGUACUUCUGCUGUCUCCUGCAUAUGGCGAAGAAGCAAUGGGAAUAGGCGUGAAAGAUGCAGGCUUGUUCGGUUCACUAAAGGACGAGAAAUCAAGGAAGAUGAUUGACGUAACAGACUAUCGACGAACAGGGCCUAACAUUCCUGGAGGACCUCACUACUCAAAUGACCAGAAAUCAAGAAAGAUGAUUGACGUAACAGACUAUCGACGAACAGGGCCUAACAUUCCUGGAGGACCACACUACUCAAAUGACGAGAAAUCAAGAAAGAUGAUUGACGUAACAGACUAUCGACGAACAGGGCCUAACAUUCCUGGAGGACCUCACUACUCAAAUGACGAGAAAUCAAGAAAGAUGAUUGACGUAACAGACUAUCGACGAACAGGGCCUAACAUUCCUGGAGGACCUCACUACUCAAAUGACGAGAAAUCAAGAAAGAUGAUUGACGUAACAGACUAUCGACGAACCGGGCCUAACAUUCCUGGAGGACCUCACUACUCAAAUGACGAGAAAUCAAGAAAGAUGAUUGACGUAACAGACUAUCGACGAACAGGGCCUAACAUUCCUGGAGGACCUCACUACUCAAAUGACGAGAAAUCAAGAAAGAUGAUUGACGUAACAGACUAUCGACGAACAGGGCCUAACAUUCCUGGAGGACCUCACUACUCAAAUGACGAGAAAUCAAGAAAGAUGAUUGACGUAACAGACUAUCGACGAACAGGGCCUAACAUUCCUGGAGGACCUCACUACUCAAAUGACGAGAAAUCAAGAAAGAUGAUUGACGUAACAGACUAUCGACGAACAGGGCCUAACAUUCCUGGAGGACCUCACUACUCAAAUGACGAGAAAUCAAGAAAGAUGAUUGACGUAACAGACUAUCGACGAACAGGGCCUAACAUUCCUGGAGGACCUCACUACUCAAAUGACGAGAAAUCAAGAAAGAUGAUUGACGUAACAGACUAUCGACGAACAGGGCCUAACAUUCCUGGAGGACCUCACUACUCAAAUGACGAGAAAUCAAGAAAGAUGAUUGACGUAACAGACUAUCGACGAACAGGGCCUAACAUUCCUGGAGGACCUCACUACUCAAAUGACGAGAAAUCAAGAAAGAUGAUUGACGUAACAGACUAUCGACGAACAGGGCCUAACAUUCCUGGAGGACCUCACUACUCAAAUGACGAGAAAUCAAGAAAGAUGAUUGACGUAACAGACUAUCGACGAACAGGGCCUAACAUUCCUGGAGGACCUCACUACUCAAAUGACGAGAAAUCAAGAAAGAUGAUUGACGUAACAGACUAUCGACGAACAGGGCCUAACAUUCCUGGAGGACCUCACUACUCAAAUGACGAGAAAUCAAGAAAGAUGAUUGACGUAACAGACUAUCGACGAACAGGGCCUAACAUUCCUGGAGGACCUCACUACUCAAAUGUAAACCAUGCAAUGAGCUUAACAGUGGGCAGAGUUUUGGUUAAAUUUUGUGUGAAGUGUGUUUGAUUAUUAUGUUAUUUUUUGUAGGACGAGAAAUCAAGAAAGAUGAUUGACGUAACAGACUAUCGACGAACAGGGCCUAACAUUCCUGGAGGACCUCACUACUCAAAUGACGAGAAAUCAAGAAAGAUGAUUGACGUAACAGACUAUCGACGAACAGGGCCUAACAUUCCUGGAGGACCACACUACUCAAAUGACGAGAAAUCAAGAAAGAUGAUUGACGUAACAGACUAUCGACGAACAGGGCCUAACAUUCCUGGAGGACCUCACUACUCAAAUGUAAACCA